rnacentral:rRNA from 1 species
CUGUGCACGGUCUGCAUUUGGUGAUUCACAUUCCUUGGCAAUGGAAUGCAAACAGGUGGUAAAUUCCAUCCAAUAUAACAAUACAACAUUGAGGCUGAUAACAAACAAGUACCAUGAGGGAAAUAUGAAAAGGACUUUGGAAAGAGAAUUAAAAGAGUUUGCAUUUGCUUGGCAUAAAACAAAUUAAUGUUGUCAUGGCCAAAAGAUUGUUGCAUUUCUGGGUGUGUGCCAACAUUGCUCAGCAAGUGUAAUGCUUCUUUCCCCCCACAAAGCUGUUGCAUUCAUGGAUCAUUCUUGUUUGGUGCUGGCAAUAUGUGUUGCAUAGUGGUGCUCUGUUUGCAUUUCUGAUUUCUGAUGUUAUGCGCACGCCUUUUGAAGCUGGACAGACAUGGCUGGGUGGUUUGUGUAUCUUCUUGGAGGAGUGGCUUGUGUGCUGACAAAGAAGGUUGCUUGACCCGUCUUGAAACACGGACCAAGGAGUCUAACAGACGUGCAAAAGAAUGAUUUAAAAUGUGGCAAAACUGAAAGGAAGAGUUAGCAUGUGUGCUCCAACGGCCAAAUG